UACACUCCUGCGGGAGGCAGCAGUGGGGAAUUUUGGACAAUGGGCGAAAGCCUGAUCCAGCAAUGCCGCGUGAGUGAAGAAGGCCUUCGGGUUGUAAAGCUCUUUUGUCAGGGAAGAAACGGUGAAAGCUAAUAUCUUUUGCUAAUGACGGUACCUGAAGAAUAAGCACCGGCUAACUACGUGCCAGCAGCCGCGGUAAUACGUAGGGUGCAAGCGUUAAUCGGAAUUACUGGGCGUAAAGCGUGCGCAGGCGGUUUUGUAAGUCUGAUGUGAAAUCCCCGGGCUCAACCUGGGAAUUGCAUUGGAGACUGCAAGGCUAGAAUCUGGCAGAGGGGGGUAGAAUUCCACGUGUAGCAGUGAAAUGCGUAGAUAUGUGGAGGAACACCGAUGGCGAAGGCAGCCCCCUGGGUCAAGAUUGACGCUCAUGCACGAAAGCGUGGGGAGCAAACAGGAUUAGAAACCCUAGUAGUCCCA
rnacentral:rRNA from 1 species